GGGACAACUCGGAUGCGCGAUAGGAGACUCACCGGUAUUGUGGAAAGUGUAACUGCGGGUUUGAUGUUGUGAUGUUGUGUUAGUGUUUUAGUGAUGAAUGAAAAACAUCUGGAAUAAACGUUUCCUUGGCUGCGUGACUGCGCAUGUGUUGCGUUGUAGUGUUGUGUAUUGUAGUGUAGUGUAGUGUUGUGUAGUGUUGUGUAGCGGGUCACCAUGCACCGGGGCGCGCUGCUGCUCUCCGGCGCCUGGGCGCUGCUCGUGCUCGGACUGAGUUUGGGUUAUUUCCCGGAGGAGCGCUGGAGCCCCGAGUCUCCGGUUCUCGCUCCCCGCGUGCUGCUCGCGCUGGUGUGCCGCAACUCGGAGCACGCGCUCCCGUACGUCCUCGGUACCAUCGACCGCCUGCACUACCCCAAAGAGCGCAUCGCUGUGUGGGUGGCGACGGACCACAACAUAGACAACACGACCUUCAUUCUGCGUGAGUGGCUCAUUAAAGUGCAGAGUCUGUAUCAUUAUGUGGAGUGGAGACCGCAGGAGGAGCCCAGAGAGUAUGAAGAUGAGGAUGGCCCAAAGCACUGGACCGACCUGCGUUAUGAGCAUGUGAUGAAGCUACGACAGGCGGCGCUGGACAAUGCGAGGCAGAUGUGGGCUGAUUACUUUAUGUUGGUGGACUGUGAUAAUCUCCUGACAGACCCUGAUGUUCUCUGGAAGCUGAUAAAGGAAAAUAAAACCAUUGUGGCACCAAUGAUGGAGUCCAGAGCUGCGUACUCUAACUUCUGGUGUGGAAUGACCUCUCAGGGCUACUACAGACGCACACCAGACUACAUGCCCAUAAGGCGUGGCGAUAGACGUGACUGCUUUCCUGUCCCCAUGGUUCACUCCACCUUCCUGAUAGAUCUGAGGAAACAGGCAUCCACAGCUCUGGCUUUCUGGCCCCCUCACCCCGACUACACCUGGUCCUUCGACGACGUCAUUGUCUUCGCCUUCUCCGCCCGCAUGGCAGAUGUUCAGAUGCACUUGUGUAACCAUGAGAUUUACGGUCACCUCCCCAUCCCACUGCAUACCCGCUAUUCCCUGCGAGAUGAGGCAGAGAACUUCCUGCACACUCUCCUCGAGGUCAUGGUUCGCGGUUCUCCGGUGGAACCCUCAAAGCAUCUCUCUGUCCCUCCCAAACACCCUGAUAAACUGGGCUUCGAUGAGGUGUUCAUGAUUAACCUGCUGAGGCGUCAGGAUCGUAGAGAGCGAAUGUUGAGGACUCUGUGGGAGCAGGAGAUCACGUGCAAGAUCAUCAACGCAGUGGACGGCAAGGCUCUGAAUGAGAGUCAGGUACGAGCGUUGGGGAUCACCAUGUUGCCGGGUUACAAAGAUCCGUAUCACGGCAGGCCGCUGACUAAAGGAGAACUGGGCUGCUUCUUGUCCCACUACAACAUCUGGAAUGAGAUAGUAGAGCGAGGACUGCAGAUGUCUCUGGUUAUAGAAGAUGAUUUGCGCUUCGAGAUUUUCUUUAAAAGGAAACUGCAGAAACUGAUGCAGGAUGUGAAGUCAGAAAAACUUGACUGGGAUUUAAUAUACAUCGGGAGGAAAAGAAUGCAAGUGGAGGAGCCGGAGAAACCGGUCCCCAACAUCCGUAACCUGGUGGAGGCCGACUAUUCCUACUGGACGCUGGGCUACAUGAUCUCCUUACAAGGGGCCAAAAAGCUGCUAAGGGCGGAGCCUUUAAGCAAAAUGCUUCCUGUGGAUGAGUUCCUCCCCGUCAUGUACAACAAACACCCAGAGGAGGUCUACAUGUCUCAUUAUGAGGUGAGGGAUCUCCUGGCGUUCUCCACCGAGCCGUUACUCAUCUUCCCCACGCACUACACGGGCGACCCGGGGUACAUCAGCGACACCGAGACGUCCACUGUGUGGGACAACGAGACCGUCCACACCGACUGGGACCGAGAUCGCUCGCAAAAGACCCGCGGCAUGCAAUCGCAGGCUACCUCUGACCUCUGACCUCUCAGACCUCUCAGACUAAUGGAGCAGGGAAACCUUUUUGACUCCCUUCCACCAAUAGGUGUCGCUAAAUACUGUACUGAACAUCGCUGAUGAAAACCAGAGGGACACAUUAUGAAAUCGGGAGAUCUUUUGUGCGAAUGUAAAAAAAACAAGAAAAUGGUUUGAAGAAACUGGGGACCUGCACCAUGGAGAAAGAACGCCAAUGCUUUUAUUACAGUUUUUUUGGAUUGCUUAAGCGCGGUUUUCAAAACAGGGCCCGUGUUUUCAAAACACUACACACAAUAAGCACAACCACACACCCAAUUAGCGAAACACUACAGAUCCCUUGCAUAAUUAAACACUCUUGUAAAAACUAUACACUUCUGUGUAAAAACCACACUUUGUUACCAUAUGAAACACACACGUUUCACAUCACUAUACUCUGUUUGCACGAGUUACACUUUGCUGUGAUAAACCUAAAACACUUUUAGCACUUCUACUUCCCUAUGAUUAGAGUAGGCUACCAGCAAUAAAGUACAAAUAUAAUGUAAAUUCACCAAACACUACACAAGACCAAUGUUGCAGACUGAAGAAACUCAUUUAUUUGUCAACACGCCCAAAAUGUUGACAUGGAGACUCAUAAUUCUGUAACAAAACGUCCCUUCACGUAUUGUACUGUAAGUUUACUGCAAAAAGAAAAAGAAUAAAGAACUAGACAUUGUCUUUUUGCCUAGCUGGAUCUGGCCAGAGAAUUUCAUCAACAUCGCAGGCAAUGUUGUCAUUCGCAAGACACCUUGGAAAGAAACGUCUUGAAUGAUGAAUCCAUCCUUGCAUUGCUGCUACCUCCAUCUGGUCACAGGCCUCCUCCAUGGCUUGGAUGAGGGUACCUCAGCCUGGAGACGGAGAUCAUAUAUCAUGAACCAGAGCAGGGCGGUCGAAGACACAUUGUCCCAGACAACAAUGUAUUGCAUAUGAUUGAUUUGAUUUGCUGUUGUUAUGUUGUGCAAUUGGUCCAAGAAUGUAAAUAUGAGUGCUGUGUUGUAAGGGCCCAUAUGGGCAUGGCGGUGGAGGACCCCAUUCUGUGUAAUGGCUGCACAGAGUGUUAUAUUACCCCCACAUUGCCCUGGGACAUUGACUAUAGCCCUGUGGCCAAUGAUGUUUCUUCCCCUCCUUCGUGUUCUCGACAGGUUGAACCCAGCCUCAUCCACGUAAAUGAACUCAUGCUGGCUCUCCUCUCCAUCCAUUCGUAAAACUCUCUGAAGAACAGUGUCAUGCAAAAUUGUGUAGUUCAGUGUAGAUCUCAUUUGUCAGAUUCAACCUCUUUGAGCACCUUCUUGUCUUCCUCUACCUCUACCUCCAGCAUGGCCUCCAUCUCUUCCUCUUCCGAUUCCUCUUCCUCCUCUUCCUCCCCUUCCUUCUCCUCCUCGUCCUCCUCCUCGUUCUCCUCAUUCUCCUCCUCAUCUUACUCUUUCUCUGACUUUUUCCAUUGUGCUUGAAGAUCGAUGAACUCACCUGCUGCUUUUAUAGUGCUUAUACACCUGAUUGGUGUGUCUGCAAUUAAUCAAACAAGUGUUUGCACACCUGAUGACUGUGUUGAACCAGUUGGUUGGACGGUGCAGUAAUUUGACAGUCAGUGCUUUGGUAUUGCAAGGAAGUGACUUCAUGAUAGAUUUUUGUGUGUAAUGUAUGUGAGGUUGACAUUGUGCUUAUAGUUGUGCAAAUAUGGGCUGAUGUUUUGCCUCUUGAGUGUAAGGUUUUGCUAACAGUGUACUACUUUUAAUUUUAGUGUGUAAGCAAUCCAAAAAAACUGUAAUCAAGGACAGACGAAAGAUGUGAUGCUUUACUUUACCACUGAAUGUAAAUCAGUUGCGCAAACAAUCACGUGAUACAGUUCAGUGAGGAACAGUGGCUGCUGGGAAAUGUGGUUCAUGCCCAUAACUCUGAUGGAGAUCCUGCUGAUGUUCUUCAUGGCUCGUGCAUUAAGAGGCAACAAAGAUGAUAUUAGAAAAAAAAAAGACCUGAGAUGUAUUUGGAGUUACUCAUGAACCCAGUAUGUGUACUUAAUACUGCAAUAUGUUUCCAAAAGUAUUGGGACACCCACCUUUUCCAACUUUUUUUUUCUCAAACAUUUGAAGGAACACAAUUCUACAGGAUGCCUUCACUUGAACUAGGAGACCCAAAUAUGUUCUCUGUAAACAAAGCCAGCUCCAUGAAGAACUGCUUUCCAUGCUUUCCAUCCUCACCUUCUUACCUACAUCAGUACCUGACUUUACUAACACCCCUGUAGCUGAAUGAAUCUCCACAACAUCUCCACAACAAUCUAGUGAAACAUCUUCCCUGAAGAUUGGAACUCAUUCUAACAGUACAUGAGGACAAAAUGUGGAAUGGGAUGCUGCAUGUGAUCUCAUGCUCUGGUGUCUACAGACUUUUGGAUAUAAAGUGUAUUUGGCGGAUGAUCAGAUUGAUUUCUGUUGUCGCUCUGGUAUUCAGUGAUGUUGUUUAGGUCGUAGUUUUUUCCUUUAAAUGUUUUGAUUAAAAACCUGUUUUUUAUUCUG